rnacentral:rRNA from 1 species
CCUACGGGUGGCAGCAGUGGGGAAUAUUGGACAAUGGGGGCAACCCUGAUCCAGCCAUGCCGCGUGUGUGAAGAAGGCCCUCGGGUUGUAAAGCACUUUCAGUGAGGAAGAACGCCUGGUGGUUAAUACCCAUCAGGAAAGACAUCACUCACAGAAGAAGCACCGGCUAACUCUGUGCCAGCAGCCGCGGUAAUACGGAGGGUGCGAGCGUUAAUCGGAAUUACUGGGCGUAAAGCGCGCGUAGGUGGCUUGAUAAGCCGGUUGUGAAAGCCCCGGGCUCAACCUGGGAACGGCAUCCGGAACUGUCAAGCUAGAGUGCAGGAGAGGAAGGUAGAAUUCCCGGUGUAGCGGUGAAAUGCGUAGAGAUCGGGAGGAAUACCAGUGGCGAAGGCGGCCUUCUGGACUGACACUGACACUGAGGUGCGAAAGCGUGGGUAGCAAACAGGAUUAGAUACCCCUGUAGUC